AAAACUUGAGGAACCAGGAGGUCGAAAGCGGUGGAGAUCAUCAUCACAAUCACAAUUGUUCGUCGUUUCUGCAAUAGAGUGCUAGCCAUCGUCCUCCACUUCUUCUCGGUGCUUGACUUGAUUAUCAUAGCUUCUCUGCAUAGAUCAUAGCAAUGCUCGUAACUCUUCAAUUUGGAGAAUACAAUCACCAUAUUUGAUAACAACAAGUUCUUGCUGUCAUCAAAAGCUAAGAUUUAGAAGCACACCUUUAAAAAUCAAAUAAUUCCUUCUCGAUUUCUCACAAAUGAAGAUUAAUACGCAAGUACUAAAUCUCUUAAUUUUUUUUUUCCAUUAGUGUUAGUUGAAAUUGACUGAUUAGUGUCUUGAGAAUCAGGACAAGGCAUUGAGGACACCUAUUUCUGAUGUGGUUGUUCCUAAUAAUUCUCUGCUUAGAUUGGUUAAUCCUGCAACGAGGUAAACAAGCAGCCUACUAUCCCUACUAAUACUUUCUAGAUUUGAUCAUAUAUGAUAAUAAAUAAAAAAUUAAACUA